rnacentral:rRNA from 1 species
UCAAGCUACUAAGGGCAUACGGUGGAUGCCUUGGCACUAAGAGCCGAUGAAGGACGCGGUAAGCUGCGAAAAGCCACGGGGAACUGCAAGCAAGUCUUGAUCCGUGGAUGUCCGAAUGGGGAAACCCACCAUCCGUCAUGGGAUGGUAUCCUACGGGAGGGGAACCCGGUGAACUGAAACAUCUAAGUAGCCGGAGGAAGAGAAAUCAAACGAGAUGCCCACAGUAGCGGCGAGCGAAGAGGGCAGAGCCUAAACCAGUCAUCUUCGGAUGGUUGGGGUUACGGACCUGCAUCAACCGAGUCCUACCUAGUCGAAUUACCUGGAAAGGUAAGCCAGAGAGCGUAAGAGCCGCGUAGGUGAAAGGAAGGACGAGGGGGCAGGGAUCCAGAGUACCACGAAGCACGAGGAAUUUUGUGGGAAGUCGGGGGGACCACCCUCCAAGGCUAAACACUUCUUAGUGACCGAUAGCGCAUAGUACCGUGAGGGAAAGGUGAAAAGAACCGCGGGAGCGGAGUGAAAGAGAACCUGAAACCGUAUGUCUACAAGCAGUCGGAGCGCAAGCGACGGCGUGCCUAUUGAAGAAUGAGCCAACGAGUUACGGGCACCAGCGAGGUUAAGCAGGAAAUGCGGAGCCGGAGCGAAAGCGAGUCUAAACAGGGCGAAUAGUUGGUGUUCGUAGACCCGAAACUGUAGUGAUCUACCCAUGAUCAGGUUGAAGCGCAGGUAAAAAUGCGUGGAGGACCGAACCGGUGAGCGUUGAAAAGCUUUCGGAUGAAUCGUGGGUAGCGGUGAAAUUCCAAUCGAACGCAGAGAUAGCUGGUUCUCCUCGAAAUAGCUUUAGGGCUAGCCUCAAGCAGUAAGCAUAGGCGGUAGAGCACUGAUCGGGAUAGGGUCCGUAAAGGAUACCGAACCCUGUCAAACUACGAAUGGUUAUGCUGCAGAGCUUGGGAGUCAGACUACGAGAGAUAAGUCCCGUUGUCAAAAGGGAAACAGCCCAGACCGUCAGCUAAGGUCCCCAAUGCCAUACUAAGUGGAAAAGGAUGUGGGGUCUCAUAAACAACCAGGAUGUUGGCUCAGAAGCAGCCACCAUUUAAAGAGUGCGUAAUAGCUCACUGGUCGAGAGGCCCUGCGCCGAAGAUUCCCGGGGCUAAAGUAUGGAACCGAAGCUACGGAUGCGGUACUUGUACCGCGUGGUAGAGGAGCGUUCCCAUUGGGUUGAAGUCGUCCUGGAAGGGACGGUGGACUGGUGGGAAGUGAGAAUGUUGGCAUGAGUAGCGAAAAGAUAGGUGAGAAUCCUAUCCACCGAAAGCAUAAGGAUUCCUGAGCAACGAUCGUCGUCUCAGGGUAAGUCGGGACCUAAUCCGAGGCAUGGAGCGUAGGAGAUGGACAACUGGUUGAUAUUCCAGUACCGGCAGCAAUCGUUUGAACGAUGGAGUGACGCAGGAAGGCAGGUCCGCGCGAGAAUGGUAGAUCGCGUACAAGCGUGCAGGCUGGUGCACAGGCAAAUCCGUGUACUGAGGCUGAGGCGUGAUGUGGAGGGAACUUGUUCCCGAAGGGAUUGAGCCUACGCUGCCGAGAAAAGCUUCUAGUGAGAAAGCUGCCGCCCGUACCGUAAACCGACACAGGUAUGCGGGGAGAGAAUCCUAAGGUGCGCGGGAGAACCCUCGUUAAGGAACUCGGCAAAAUGUACCCGUAACUUCGGGAUAAGGGUAGCCGCUGUUGUGAAGUCUGAACAGACGGAGCAUGAGGCGGUCGCAGAGAAGAGGCCCAAGCGACUGUUUACCACAAACACAGGUGCCUGCUAAAGAGAAAUCUGACGUAUAGGUGCUGACACCUGCCCAGUGCCGGAAGGUUAAGGAAGGAUGUCCGGAGCAAUCCAAAGCAUUCGACCGAAGCCCCGGUGAACGGCGGCCGUAACUAUAACGGUCCUAAGGUAGCGAAAUUCCUUGUCGGGUAAG